rnacentral:ncRNA from 1 species
CAGGACUUGGCCCUUCGGGGACAAGUUUAGUGGCGGACGGGUGAGUAACGCGUGAGCAACCUGCCUUUCAGAGGGGGACAACAGUUGGAAACGACUGCUAAUACCGCAUGACACUUUUAGGAGGCAUCUCCAAAAAGUCAAAGAUUUAUCGCUGAAAGAUGGGCUCGCGUCUGAUUAGAUAGUUGGUGGGGUAACGGCCUACCAAGUCAACGAUCAGUAGCCGGACUGAGAGGUUGAACGGCCACAUUGGGACUGAGAUACGGCCCAGACUCCUACGGGAGGCAGCA